ACGGGCGUGAGCGUCGGUACGGGCGUGAGCGUCGGUACAGGCUUGCGUGUCUAUUAAUUGUUAUGUCCUUCAAGCAUGAAUUAAGUAACACCUUCUGGUUAUAAUGCCAGCCUGGAAUAUGAAUAUAAGGUUAGCUUCUACAAUUGAUUUGGCAGGAAUCAAAUCCGAGUUCCUCUACUGCGGAUUCGGCAGGGACCAGAAAAGGGAGUAACAGAAGAAAAAACUCACCUUUCUUCAAGAAAUAUUCCAACUGCUCUGCAUCUGUGAACAUGCUCUGCCUUCACUCCUGUCACUGAAGAUCCUUCACUGCACAGCUCUUUACCUCUACUCAACUGUCUGAAAAUUAACUGCCAUGUGAAGUCUGGGUGCUGUUCGUUCAGUCUCUACAGUAGUCACAUGAUGAAUGACUGCAAUCUGAGAAUAAUAACCUACAAAUAUUGGUUCAUGUUUCCAAGGAAAGGGUGUGGAAAAAAAAAGUUUUUCUUAAAUUCUGUCUCAACAGUCAGUAGAAACAGAGGGAAGACUAUCCUGCAGGUUUUUUGGUUGGUGAAACACACUUUGAGAAAUGCCUAGUUUAGAGGAAAGAGCACUACUGUCUUUAAAAUCCUUGUCAAUAAAUUGAUUACACAGGAAAGCCCUUCCUUUCUGCAAAUGCAAAUAAAACAUUUCUUGAAAUCUAACUGUAUCCCCCAGGCUACUGCUUUAUUAAAACUAUG
rnacentral:lncRNA from 10 species